rnacentral:rRNA from 1 species
ACGGGGUGCAGCAUGCGCGAAAACUUCACACUGUGCGAAAGCGCGAUGAGGGAAUCCCAAGUGUUUGCUCGUAAGAGUAAACUGUUUCUUUGUUUAAAACGCAGAGAGAGUAAGGGCUGGGUAAGACGGGUGCCAGCCGCCGCGGUAAUACCUGCAGCUCAAGUGGUGAUCAUUAUUAUUGGGCCUAAAACGUCCGUAGCCGGUUUAGUAAAUGCCUGGGUAAAUCGUGUAGCUUAACUAUACGACUUCCGGGUAGACUGCUAAACUUGAGACCGGGUGAGGCUAGAGGUACUCCUGGGGUAGAGGUGAAAUUCUGUAAUCCUAGGGGGACCACCAGUGGCGAAGGCGUCUAGCUAGAACGGGUCUGACGGUGAGGGACGAAGCCCUGGGGCACAAACCGGGUUAGAUACCCGGGUAGUCCAGGGUGUAAACGCUGCUUGCUUGAUGUUAGUUGAGCUCCGAGCCCAACUAGUGUCGGAGAGAAGUUGUUAAGCAAGCUGCCUGGGAAGUACGGUCGCAAGGCUGAAACUUAAAGGAAUUGGGCGGGGGAGCACAGCAAACGGGUGGAGC